GCUCCCAUAGCUCAAUUGGCAGAGCAACUGACUCUUAAUCAGUGGGUUAGAGGUUCGAUUCCUCUUGGGAGCA
rnacentral:tRNA from 1 species